AGAUGGUUACUGCAAGGACCAGGAAGUGUUAGUGCUUAGAGGAGGUGCCUGUGAGAACCAUCAAGGAGAUGCAAAACUCUGGUGAUAUGGAAUCCUUGCACUAUAAUGAUAAUAGAACUCUUGAUAUAUAAGACAACAAGGAGGGAUGACCUGGAAUUGUGUCAGGAGAGGUUCAGUAAGAAGCACAGGAAUGAGCACAAAGGAAGCCAUUCCAACAUUCUCCUUCCUCUGGCGUGUUUUGUGGCUGCCUGGAGCAGUUUCUCAGGGAGCACUGCAGCCCUCCUGUUCCGUGUCAGCCUCAUCUGCACCGUCACCCUUGGAUCCCUGCCCAGAGGCUUCAGGAACGCAUCCAGUCUCCGUGUGACACCUGGGCCUGGCUCUGGGAAUGCACAACAGACUCUGGUGAUGUAUUCAGCUCCUAAAAAUAACCCCAGCAGGUAGCUAGCAGUCCUUUUCCAAGACUCAAGAACACGGUAGCAGACUGCACUGCUCCGUUUCUCCUUUUGAGAAAGGAGAAUGAUAUGGAGAAGAAAAAAAUGUAAAGAUGAAUAUGGCUCUAACUUCUUGACAAGGAAUAAUUUUUUUAACUUUCGACCAUUUCCUUCAAGGUAUUUCUGUUUCUAACAGAUAUUUUUGAACUCCAUGACUCAAUUACUUUUUAAUUAAAAAUGAGUGCAUGUAAUAUAGAUUACUUCAUGUGUCUCAUGGCUGUAAAACAAACUGUUGGCUAGACUGGAAAAAAAAAAUUCUGGAAGUUAUGAACAAUGCUAA